rnacentral:misc_RNA from 1 species
GAUGAAGAACGCAGCGAAAUGCGAUAAGUAAUGUGAAUUGCAGAAUUCAGUGAAUCAUCGAAUCUUUGAACGCACAUUGUGCCCCUUGGUAUUCCGAGGGGCAUGCCUGUUCGAGCGUCAUUACACCACUCAAGCUAUGCUUGGUAUUGGGCGUCGUCCUUAGUUGGGCGCGCCUUAAAGACCUCGGCGAGGCCACUCCGGCUUUAGGCGUAGUAGAAUUUAUUCGAACGUCUGUCAAAGGAGAGGAACUCUGCCGACUGAAACCUUUAUUUUUCUAGGUUGACCUCGGAUCAGGUAGGGAUACCCGCUGAACUUAAGCAUAUCAAUAAGCGGAGGA